UAAUGAUUGUUUUAAAAUAGGAUCUUCUGUAAUCCAGGCUAACCUCAAAUUCAAUAGUUAAGGAUAACUGUGAAUGCUUGAUAUUUCUGCCUCAGUAUCCUGGGUUCCAAGAUUACAGACCCUCCAUAUCACACUCAUGAAAUCUUUAAAAAAAUUUUAUUAUUACAUGCAUAUGACAAAUGUGUAUACAACCUACUGAUUUUAUUCAGUCUUGCUUGUAUGCUCAUGUGUCCAUGAGCUGUCUGGAUGUUUCUAGGCAAUGAUGCUGUCAGCAUUGUUUGCCUUGAUAACAGCGAAUGUGUGAGCAUUGAACAAGAUUAGGGAACUGCCCAGAGUCAAACAAAUGAACAAAACCAACAACAACAAACAAAGAAACAGAUAAAAUGAAAAAAGUUGACUUUAAGGAUGCCUUUUAUCAAUUGACUUUCUAUGUUAACAUUAAUGUACAUGUGAUUUUUAUCUAGAAUUUGUGAACAACAACAAAAAAAAAAACCCUUAAAGAAUUUGGUCCUUCUACUGAUCCUUUUGCAAGGCUGAUUAACAGAUUACAACCUCAAUGACUGUAGGGAGUUUAGAAUGUUGCAAGUACAGAGCCAAAUUACCUUGUGCUAUUUUCAGCCCCCUAAGUAGCCAAUUAUUGUCUUGGGCUGUGUGUGAGAUAAUAUCUUGGUGAAUAUUAUGUAAAUCCAUUGGAAUAUAGAGAAAACACCUAGCUCCCACCAAGCGGAACUAAGAAUAAUACCGGAUAGUAUAUGAGGCCUGUAGCAGAGACAUUUCCUCUUCACUUUAAUUCACAUAACUAAUGUCUCUACCAAAACAUGUUAGAAGUGACUGACAUGACUUCCUUUGCUCUGUUACUGUAAAACCUCAUCCAACUCUUGCUGUGUUGGAACAUAGAAUUUAGUGUCACGUGAAUCUGUGUUCACAGGCUAUAGUGACUCAUGUUUGACUCUAAAAUAAACUAUCUCUUAUCCUCUUUGAGAUGAGAGUUAUGAUUUUUACAUCAACAACUUCUUGGAUCUUGGUAUCUAUUAUUGUCCCCAAACCUUACCUGUGAAGAGUCAUUCACCAUCUCUUCAGUCAUCCUGCUUGCAGAGCAAACAAGGACAAGACUCCACAGGAUGAAGGAUGAGUCCUUCCUCAUCACCCAAAUACUAUCUGAUGGUGACUGCAGAAGUGACCUUUGCCAACAAAAUUUCAAAACAACUGAGGCAAUGACCAAGCUCUGAAGCCCAGGAUGUGUGAUCCAACGUAAAACUUUGUGUUACAAUCUGUCAUCCUGGGAAGCCAGGGCAGGAGCACAGGUAGGAAGCUGGAAGCAAGAACUGAAGCAAACCAUAUAAAGGACUGCUGCUUACUGAUUUGUUUCCUCUGGUCUGCUCAGUUGCCUUUCUUAUUCAUCACAGGCCCACCUACCCAGGUCUGCAGUUUGUGUAAAGCAGACAAAAGCUUAUGACAGUAUCCAAAAAUCAUUUUUUUUAAAAAGUUGCUGCCUGAAAAAUGAAGAGAAUAACAAAUCCCUGCAAAACCUAGAAUGAAGAGCUUGGUACUGUGUCACAGAGUGCAAGAAACAGUUGAGACCUUCACAACAAAGUAACCAAGAAUUUAAUGGGAAAAACUACAAUAUACAAGUAGAGGAAAUGGCAGGUGCCGAUAAAGGAAAGACUAGGGUCGUUUGUGUAAUGGCUUUUUAUAAAAGGAAACCAUUUUCCAAAUGUAUUAGUCAUUCAGUCUGGUGACUAUUAAAAUCUCCAUUCAAGAACCUCAAGAAAUCAUAAGAAAGUUAAAAGGACAUAAAUAGCUGAAGCAGGCAUGAAGAUUUUAAAAAGCAACUCCAUGGGGAGAAGUAUAGUGACUCAGUAGAUAAAGCAUUGUGUUAUGAGUGUAAGGACAGGAGUCCAAAUCUACAGCACCCUCACAAAAGCCAGGGAGGGCUGGCCUGUAAGGUAAAGGCAGAGAACACCCUACGCACCCCAGGCUAGCUCAGCUGAGUUGGCACAUUCUGAAUGAGAUGCCUUGCCUCAGUAAAUAAAAUAGAGAGUGGUCAAAUUAGGUACCAGACUGACAUCAACUCCUGUCUUCCAUGUGCACACAUGUGUGAACGUGCAUACUCAUACACAUGGUAAACAUGGCUUGGUGAUCAACACUGAGAAUCAUAACUUUAAAUUGUUAAAGUGCCAUAAGAAGAAGUCACAAGAAAAGAUAAAUUAAGUGAUGUAACUGAGGUGAGAGGUCAGAGAAAGACUUCUCUGUGCAAGCAGGUGUAAAGGGGAUGCUCUUCAAAUCAGCAGGAGAGGCCCACUCUACUCCGAGUGUGUUUUAACCAAGAGCAUGAAGAAAAAGUGCAUCUUUAACCCGAGUCAUUCAUAGAGAA